rnacentral:rRNA from 1 species
UACGUAGGGGGCUAGCGUUGUCCGGAUUUAUUGGGCGUAAAGAGCGUGUAGGCGGCCAGGUAGGUCUGGUGUGAAAACUCGAGGCUUAACCUCGAGAUGUCAUCGGAAACCAUCUGGCUAGAGUCCGGAAGAGGAGAGUGGAAUUCCUGGUGUAGCGGUGAAAUGCGCAGAUAUCAGGAAGAACACCAAUGGCGAAAGCAGCUCUCUGGGACGGUACUGACGCUGAGACGCGAAAAGCGUGGGGGAGCGAACAGG